AACCUGUGGUGAACAGAUUCUGACAAAUUAAUUCAGCUGAUUUAUACUACUUUACCAUUCCAUUUAUUCUGAGGUG